rnacentral:tRNA from 1 species
GGCGUUGUGGCCGAGUAGUUAGGCAGUGGUCUGCAAAACCGCGUACCCGGGUGCAAAUCCCGGCAACGCCUCCA